GUGUAGUGGGACCACAGACAGAAUGUGAUUCAUCCAUUUCUGAAUGACCAUCAGACAGAAGUCUCCCAUGUCUGGGAGCUCCAUCCACCCACGUCUAGGUGAAGUCAGAGGGAGCCGGCAGAGCAUCGCAGGCUCUAUGCAUAACUCCCUUUACCAUUUCUAGCAAAGGUUCACAUUAUCCCACAACACCAGAGUACAAAAGGCAGUAUGAACAAUAAAUAAUAUAUAUCAGAAGCACACGUGAAACAACAAAAUGUACACGUGCCUUUACGAGUCAAUACGAUGCAAGCAACAAUCUCUCACAAAUGUAUUCAGAUCGGAAUGAAAUGAAAGCAAAAGUAUAAAUGGAUUCCAAGUAAUCAUAUAUAGCUCAAUUCAAAUAAGAAGGUUAGAUGAAUUCAAUAUCCAAAGGAAUGAAACUAGAAUAGGCACAUAUCGAAAGCAAAUGCGGAACAAUGGGAUAUACAUGUGCCUAUAUGUGUCAAUGCGAUAUAGCUUAAAAGUUACACAAAAUGUUUCAAGAAUGUAAAUAAUUUACAGACAAGAUCAAACCAGAAUUCAAG
rnacentral:lncRNA from 1 species